AUGAGCUCAGAGACAACCCUGGGGGCAGAUCCUGUAGUCUUGAAAGGUUUUUGCCAGGAGUUGUAGAGCAAUUAGAGGGUCUUGAGCAGAGGCCCAGAAAAUGGGAGUGUUUCAACAGGAUUAUUUAGAUUGCUAUUUGAAACUAUGUAAGGGCUCAAAGGUGGAAGCAGGGAGAGCUGUGCAAGGUGACGGCAGUAAUCCAGGAACGGGAAAGGACGUGGUUGCCACUUCCCGAGAUGAAGAAGUCAGAGCAAGUAGCCCGUCUGGGGACAUCAGAGUUGAGUGAAUUGGAUUUGAGACAUCUAUUAGUGUCCAGGAGGAGGUGCUGAGUUGGCGCGGUCUCCUCUCCCAUCUUCCCUCUCCCCGCCUCUUGAUGGUAGGGACGCCGGCACCACAGGAGGCGGAAGCUUGCAGAGGCUAAGCCAGCUAACCGGCGGCCAAACGCAGACUCCACCGCGCCCGCUGUGCUCCUGGUCUACCCCACCCCAUCCACCCCGGCUGCCUCUGCAGCUCAGAUCCAGCCGCAGCCCC